AUACGAAGGGGGCUAGCGUUGUUCGGAAUUACUGGGCGUAAAGCGCGCGUAGGCGGAUUGGUCAGUUAGGGGUGAAAUCCCAGGGCUUAACCCUGGAACUGCCUCUAAUACUGCCAGUCUUGAGUUCGGGAGAGGUGAGUGGAAUUCCUAGUGUAGAGGUGAAAUUCGUAGAUAUUAGGAAGAACACCAGUGGCGAAGGCGGCUCACUGGCCCGAUACUGACGCUGAGGCGCGAAAGCGUAGGGAGCAAACAGGAUUAGAUACCCUAGUAGUCC
rnacentral:rRNA from 1 species